AUUAUCUUUCUCACCAUUGAAUGUCCAGAUGCAUCCAGUUGCAUUAGUUUAGAAAUUGAGAGCGUUGUGGAGCUUACAAUAUUACUUCACUCAGCAGAAAGAGGAUAUUGCUAUGUCGAGCGAUCUGGGCGUUGUCAGUGCUGUUGCGGCUUCUCCAAUAUUUUGGAAUCCCUUGCUGAGGUGGGAGACGAUUGGAGCAUCCAUGGUUGUAUGA